UACCAGCACCCCGAGUGGUCGGGACGAUUAUUGGGCCUAAAGCAUCCGUAGCCGGUUCUACAAGUCUUCCGUUAAAUCCACCUGCUCAACAGUUGGGCUGCGGAGGAUACUAUAGAGCUAGGAGGCGGGAGAGGCAAGCGGUACUUAGUGGGUAGGGGUAAAAUCCGUUGAUCCAUUGAAGACCACCAGUGGCGAAGGCGGCUUGCCAGAACGCACUCGACGGUGAGGGAUGAAGGCUGGGGGAGCAAACCGG
rnacentral:rRNA from 1 species